rnacentral:rRNA from 1 species
GACAGAGGAUGCAAGCGUUAUCCGGAAUGAUUGGGCGUAAAGCGUCUGUAGGUGGCUUUUUAAGUCUGCCGUCAAAUCCCAGGGCUUAACCCUGGACAGGCGGUGGAAACUACCAAGCUGGAGUACGGUAGGGGCAGGGGGAAUUUCCGGUGGAGCGGUGAAAUGCGUAGAGAUCGGAAAGAACACCAACGUCGAAAGCACUCUGCUGGGCCGACACUGACACUGAGAGACGAAAGCUAGGGGUGCGAAUGGG